rnacentral:lncRNA from 1 species
CCAGGGGGGAAGAAUGGGGAGAGGGAUAGUUAGGGAGUUUGGGGAUCGAUCAGCACACAUUUCUAUAUUUAACAUGGAUAACCCACAAGGACCUACCGUAUAGCACAUGGAACUCUGCCCAAUGUCAUGGGGCAGCCUAGAUGGGAGGGAAGUUUGGUGGGAAAAUGGAUACAUGUAUAUCUAAGGGCUGAGUCCCUUUGCUAUCCACCUAAAACUAUCACAACACUGUUAAUCACUGUUAUUGCAGUGAUGCUCUAAUAAAAAAAUUUGAAGUUUUAAAAAAGAGAGACCUACUUCAGCAUCUCCCCUACAUGACAACUUCCAAUAGAUAUUUUCACGAGCAUUUCUUGAGCCCCUCUCACAUGAAAUAGGGCUACAAAGUGCUACAGCAGCUGUAAAACUUAAUUUUUGCCUCAACAAAUUUUGUUAUCAUUGUGCACCUUAAAGAAAUGUGAGGACUUCCCUGGUGGCCCAGUGGCUAAGACUCCGUACUCCCAAUGCAGGUGGCCUGGGUUCAAUCCCUGGUCAGGGAACUAGAUCNNNNNNNNNNNNNNNNNNNNNNNNNNNNNNNNNNNNNNNNNNNNAAAAAAAAAAAAAGGAAAGAAAAGAAAUGUGGACAAGGGAAGUCAAAAUAUUUAAACUUAUUUGUCCUAAGAAAAAUGUAUCUUUCACUUUGUUACCAUAUUUAAGAUAUGUUUAGCCUCCACACUGAUGACACUAUGAAUUUAUUUUUUUCUUUUUCUUUCCACUGGUUCAGUGACUAUCAUAGGAAUACAACUCCAGUGACCUUUGGCACACAGACACACAACAAGGGCUGCUACAGCACACUGAGAUUUGACACAAACAUGUUCAGGCCGGAGAAUGUGCGUCAUAUUCUACUGGCUGGAGAGAGAGAUUUUGCUUUUCAAGCUCUUAAUCUUUAUACUUAAUUGAAUAAACAUUAGGACACACCCAGCACGUGCCCAAUAUAUUAUAUUAAGCAAUGCAGAUACAAAAAUGAAUAUGUCCCCUGCCCUCAAGAAAAGAGUCAUCAGAAGGCUUAUAAAUCAUAACAGUCUAGAAAA